rnacentral:rRNA from 1 species
UGGGGAAUAUUGGACAAUGGGGGCAACCCUGAUCCAGCCAUGCCGCGUGUGUGAAGAAGGCCUUCGGGUUGUAAAGCACUUUCAGUGGUGAGGAAGGGUGUGUUGUUAAUAGCAGCAUACAUUGACGUUACCCACAGAAGAAGCACCGGCUAACUCCGUGCCAGCAGCCGCGGUAAUACGGAGGGUGCGAGCGUUAAUCGGAAUUACUGGGCGUAAAGCGCACGUAGGCGGUUUGUUAAGCAAGAUGUGAAAGCCCCGGGCUCAACCUGGGAAUAGCAUUUUGAACUGGCAAGCUAGAGUUUUGAAGAGGGUGGUAGAAUUUCCUGUGUAGCGGUGAAAUGCGUAGAUAUAGGAAGGAAUACCAGUGGCGAAGGCGGCCACCUGGUCAAAAACUGACGCUGAGGAGCGAAAGCGUGGGGAGCAAACAGGAUUAGAUACCCUGGUAGUCCACGCUGUAAACGAUGUCAACUAGUUGUUCGUUUCAUAAAUGAAGUGAGUAACGCAGCUAACGCACUAAGUUGACCCGCCUGGGGAGUACGGCCGCAAGGUUA